AUUGAACGCUGGCGGCAGGCCUAACACAUGCAAGUCGAACGAGUGGCGGACGGGUGAGUAAUGUCUGGGAAACUGCCUGAUGGAGGGGGAAAACUACUGGAAACGGUAGCUAAUACCGCAUACAAUCAGAUGUGGCAAGAUGGGAUUAGCUUGUUGGUGGGGUAACGGCUCACCAAGGCGACGAUCCCUAGCUGGUCUGAGAGGAUGACCAGCCACACUGGAACUGAGACACGGUCCAGACUCCUACGGGAGGCAGCAGUGGGGAAUCUUGCACAAUGGUCGCAAGCCUGAUGCAGCCAUGCCGCGUGUAUGAAGAAGGCCUUCGGGUUGUAAAGUACUUUCAUCGGGGAGGCGGUACCCGCAGAAAAAGCACCGGCUAACUCCGUGCCAGCAGCCGCGGUAAUAC
rnacentral:rRNA from 1 species